GCCAUGCUAGUUGCACGAGUUCAUACUCGUGGCGAAAAGCUCAGUAACACGUGGCCAAACUACCCUACAGAGAACGAUAACCUCGGGAAACUGAGGCUAAUAGUUCAUACGGGAGUCAUGCUGGAAUGCCGACUCCCCGAAACGCUCAGGCGCUGUAGGAUGUGGCUGCGGCCGAUUAGGUAGACGGUGGGGUAACGGCCCACCGUGCCGAUAAUCGGUACGGGUUGUGAGAGCAAGAGCCCGGAGACGGAAUCUGAGACAAGAUUCCGGGCCCUACGGGGCGCAGCAGGCGCGAAACCUUUACACUGCACGCAAGUGCGAUAAGGGGACCCCAAGUGCGAGGGCAUAUAGUCCUCGCUUUUCUCGACUGUAAGGCGGUCGUGGAAUAAGAGCUGGGCAAGACCGGUGCCAGCCGCCGCGGUAAUACCGGCAGCUCAAGUGAUGACCGAUAUUAUUGGGCCUAAAGCGUCCGUAGCCGGCCAUGAAGGUUCAUCGGGAAAUCCGCCAGCUCAACUGGCGGGCGUCCGGUGAAAACCACAUGGCUUGGGACCGGAAGGCUCGAGGGGUACGUCCGGGGUAGGAGUGAAAUCCCGUAAUCCUGGACGGACCACCGAUGGCGAAAGCACCUCGAGAAGACGGAUCCGACGGUGAGGGACGAAAGCUAGGGUCUCGAACCGGAUUAGAUACCCGGGUAGUCCUAGCUGUAAACGAUGCUCGCUAGGUGUGACACAGGCUACGAGCCUGUGUUGUGCCGUAGGGAAGCCGAGAAGCGAGCCGCCUGGGAAGUACGUCCGCAAGGAUGAAACUUAAAGGAAUUGGCGGGGGAGCACUACAACCGGAGGAGCCUGC
rnacentral:rRNA from 1 species